UAAUUCCAGCUCCACUAGCGUAUAUUAAAGUUGUUGCAGUUAAAAAGCUCGUAGCUGAAUCUCUGUCUGGGGCUAGUUUUGGCUUAUGUCAGGCUAGUUCUAGGCAUCCGCCUACAAGACUUAGAGGGCAUUUACUUGUUCACUAGGAGGAGUAGGCAUUUUACUUUGAAAAAAUUAGAGUGUUUAAGGCAGGCAAUAGCUCGCAUAUAUUAGCAUGGAAUAAUAGAAUAGGACACUUUUCCAUUUCGUUGGUUAUUGGAAUCGUGUAAUGAUUAAUAGGGACAGUUGUGGGCAUUUGUAUUUAAUUGUCAGAGGUGAAAUUCUUGGAUUUAUUGAAGACAAACUAACGCGAAAGCAUUUGCCAAGGAUGUUUUCAUUAAUCAAGAACGAAAGUUAGGGGAUCAAAGACGAUCAGAUACCGUCCUAGUCUUAGCUAUAAACUAUUCCGACUCAAUGUUUGACUGGCUUAUAUAACCAGUUGAGCGUUGUAUGAGAAAUCAAAGUCUUUAGGUUCUGGGGGGAGUAUGGUUGCAAAGCUGAAACUUAAAGGAAUUGACGGAAGAGCACAACCAGGAGUGGAUUCUGCGGCUUAAUUUGACUCAACACGGGGAAACUUACCAGGUUAAAACAAUAGUGGGAUUGACAGUUUGAGAGCGCUUUCUUGAUUUGUUGGGUGGUGGUGCAUGGCCGUUCUUAGUUGGUGGAGUGAUUUGUCUGCUUAAUUGCGUUAACGAACGAGACCUUAACCUGCUUACUAGACUAAUGAUCAGCAAUCGUUAGCUCUUCUUAGAGGGACUUUGGUUGUUUUAACUCCAAGGAAGUUUGAGGCAAUAACAGGUCUGUGAUGCCCUUAGAUAUCCUGGGCCGCACGCGUCAUACAAUGACUAGUUCAGAAAGUUUUCUCCUGACCCGGAAGGGGAUGGGUAAUCUUGAUAAUACUAGUCGUGUUAGGGAUCGAUCUUUGCAAUUAUAGAUCUUGAACGAGGAAUUCCUAGUAAGUGCGGUUCAUCAGACCGUACUGAUUACGUCCCUGCUCUUUGUACACACCGCCCGUCGCUUCUACCGAGUGGGUGGUCCGGUGAGAUACUUGAACUUCUUAAGCAAUUGAGAGGAAAGAUUAUCAAACCUAUCCACCUC
rnacentral:rRNA from 1 species